GUGCUCACUUUGGUAGCACAUAUACUAAAAAAUUGGAAUGAUACAAAGAAGAUUAGCAUGGCCCCUGUGCAAGGAUGACAUGCAAAUUUAUGAAGGAACUUUAGUGUCA